AAAAAAAAAAAAAAAAAUCAAGGGUAUGAUAGGUCAACAUAAAAUAUUGGAGGUGCACUAGACUUUUUUUCAAGCAGGUCAGGGGCUAAUUUACGUAUUACGCCGCAUUAGAUAAAAAUAACUCCCAUACUAACUUGCUAAGUAGAUAAAUCUUGUUAAGAACUAAUAGAAGCAUCAUACCUUGGACUUGAGCAUACAAGAGAA
rnacentral:misc_RNA from 1 species